rnacentral:misc_RNA from 1 species
GAUGAGAACGUAGCGAAAUGCGAUAAGUAAUGUGAAUUGCAGAAUUCAGUGAAUCAUCGAAUCUUUGAACGCACAUUGCGCCCCUUGGUAUUCCGAGGGGCAUGCCUGUUCGAGCGUCAUUAUAACCCCUCAAGCUCAGCUUGGUGUUGGGGCCUGCUGCACUGGCAGCCCUUAAAAUCAGUGGCGGCGCCAUCUGGCUCUAAGCGUAGUAAUUCUUCUCGCUAUGGAGUCCUGGUGGAUGCUUGCCAUCAACCCCCAAUUUUUCUAUGGUUGACCUCGGAUCAGGUAGGGAUACCCGCUGAACUUAAGCAUAUCAAUAAGCGGAGG